GGGAAGGUGGCUCAGUGGUAGAGUGCUUGCCUUGCAUGCAUGAGGCCCUGGGCUGGCUUCCUCC
rnacentral:tRNA from 1 species